rnacentral:rRNA from 1 species
GUGAGGAAUAUUGGGCAAUGGGCGAAAGCCUGACCCAGCCACGCCGCGUGAGUGAUGAAGGCCUUCGGGUUGUAAAGCUCUGUGGGGAGGGAAGAAAAAGCGCAGGAGUAACUGCCUGUGUGUUGACGGUACCUCCUUAGCAAGCACCGGCUAACUCUGUGCCAGCAGCCGCGGUAAUACAGAGGGUGCAAACGUUGCUCGGAAUUACUGGGCGUAAAGCGCGUGUAGGCUGACAUGCAAGUCGGGUGUGAAAUCCCGGGGCUAAACCUUGGAACUGCACUCGAAACUGCACGUCUUGAGUACUGGAGAGGGCAGCGGAAUUCCGGGUGUAGAGGUGAAAUUCGUAGAUAUCCGGAGGAACACCAGUGGCGAAAGCGACUUCCUGGACAGUAACUGACGCUGAGACGCGAAAGCGUGGGGAGCAAACAGGAUUAGAAACCCGUGUAGUCC